UAUUGUGUUCAAGGGACAGUA
rnacentral:siRNA from 1 species